rnacentral:lncRNA from 1 species
UCGGGUGCCCGGCUCUGGCGGGGCGGGAGGGGCUGGGCGGGUCUUGCGCCAGGGACGCCCACCCGUCCGCCCGCCGGGGCUGGGCGAGGCGUUGCGAUCUGGCACUGCUAGCGGGCAGAGGCGGUGAGCGGGGGGAGGACGGCUGCGGCUCCGGCCGGUCCCCUCGCUUGUAGGCACUCGCCUCCCGGGACAGCCACCGCAGGCCUCUCGCUGCCCUCUGAGGGGAAGGGAGGAACCAAAUAGGUGGCAGAGAGACGCAGUGUGCUCUUCCGCCGCCCAAUCCCGCUGACGGUGCGCGGACCCUCCGCGCUCUUGUUCCCUUCCGCAGUCCGCGCCCUGAGCCGGGCGCCAGGGAGCUGUCCAUCCCAUUGGUUCUGAAUCAGGCGCUACGGAAACGCUCCAGGUGUGGUCACCAAGAUUUUCAUCUGCCCUCACAUCUAUGCGCUCAUCAAUGAAGAAGCUCAAUCAUUUUCAACAGAAAACUUCAAAAUGACAUCUAGCUUUGUUUUGAGUCUCUGGAUUUCUUAUUUUGGUUCUGUCAGAAUCUUGCUUCAGACCCCAUGGGGGAUGUUCCUCACAACUGCAGGUGGAGGAAGCAAGGGUUGUGUUAAUUAUUCCUCAGACAAUGUGUCCUUCAAGAAACUAGAAGAAGUUAGUGAGAAAAAUGAGAAACAGAGAAUCUAA